AGUAAAAGUCGUAACAAGGUUUCCGUAGGUGAACCUGCGGAAGGAUCAUUAUCGAGUUUUUGAACGGGUUGUCUGCUGGCUCGAAAGGGCAUGUGCACGCCUGGCUCAUCCACUCUCUCAACUUCUGUGCACUUUUCAUAGGCCGGCUUGGAGGUGUGCGUUCGCGCGUGCACUUGUAGGUCUGGCUUAUGCUUCAUACCACAAACGAUUCAGUUUCAGAAUGUCACACUUUGCGAUAACGCAAUUAUAUACAACUUUCAGCAACGGAUCUCUUGGCUCUCGCAUCGAUGAAGAACGCAGCGAAAUGCGAUAAGUAAUGUGAAUUGCAGAAUUCAGUGAAUCAUCGAAUCUUUGAACGCACCUUGCGCUCCUUGGUAUUCCGAGGAGCAUGCCUGUUUGAGUCUCAUGGAAUUCUCAACCUUCAACUUUAUUGAUGAAGGCUUGGACUUGGAGGUCGUGCCGGCUCUCGUAGUCGGCUCCUCUGAAAUGCAUCAGUGCGAACGUUACCAGCCGCUUCAGCGUGAUAAUUAUCUGCGUUGCUGCGGGGGGUAAGUGAGUGUUCACGCUUCCAACUGUCUUCGGACGACGUUUCUGAACUCUGAG
rnacentral:rRNA from 1 species